UUGAGAAAUUUUUAAAUAACUCGAUUAUAUACGAACCUUGACUUUCAUUUUCGUUUUCACAAUUUUGGUAAUACUGGAGAAUAGAAUGUCGUUAGAGUUGGUGGGGUGGUUCCUCCGAUCUAUUUCUGUACCACGUUUAUGGGGUAAAGUUCAAGUGAAUAAAUUCAGAAUAUGAUCGGCGAUUUUACUAUUUUACAAUAGUAAAAUCGCAGAGAACAUGGAACUAAUAUUUUAUUACAUUUCGAUAAUACCUAAUAUGAAACUUAUCGAAUUAUUAUUAGAAACAAUAUUUUCAAUUACAGAUUAAAUAUACGAAAUGAUAGUAUUGAUGAUAAUCUUUUGAUAACCGUUGAUAAAGUACAAACAAAUCAUUUAUCUUAUACUUGGUGCUUUAAGUUUCCAAAGGAAGAUACUGUUAGUCUAGGUAUCAAUUACGAUAUUGCAAAUCAAGAAAUUAUUUAUUACAAAAUAAUUUUAACCUCUAAUUUUCCAUGAAAUAUUAAAAGAAAUACUUAUUAUUAAGAUCUUAUUUAUUCCUCGAUAUUUAAACACACAUAAAUAAUAUAGUGAAAACAAACUCGUCAAUUUAAUUAUGAUUUCGCAAAGAGAAAAUGUAUGGUCUAACAUACCUAUUCGUAUGUUCAUAAAUACAAUAUCACAUCCAGUUGAUUAUGCAAAGGUUUUAAUACAGAUUGGUCAUGAACCUAUUCCACCACGCCAAACAUUUACAUUAUUUGGAAAACCAGCAUUAGCCUUACCCAACGUUUUUCAAUAUGUUAAAUAUAUCAAAAGUGUUGAUGGAUUUGCUGGUUGUUAUCGGGGACUGGUACCUAAACUUUGUGCAUAUACCCUCAGUGCGGUAGCAUUUGAGAAAACUUCUGAAUGCAUUACAUUUAGUGAUGAACCUGACAAAAAUAAAGAUGAUGAGGAAUUAACAGAACCAGAAAGACGUACUAGAUGUAUUCAUGAGUUAAUACGGGAUUUAAUUAGUAGAAUGGUGGGAAUCAUAGUGAGCCAUCCAUUGGAUGUAAUAAUGUUAAGGAUGAUGGCCCAAUUUGUAGGCGGUGAAACAAAAUACAAUGGAAUUGUUAGAUCAUUUAUAGAAGUGUAUAAGGAAAAUGGAAUUGCAGGAUAUUAUGCAGGAAUAAUACCACGCCUCAUUGCAAAUGCUGCGGUAUUAGUUCUUGUCAGUUCAUCGACUUAUGUCAUUAAUAAAUAUAUUAUUCAUGAUCAAGAAUUAAAAACUUAUACAGCUUCCACAAUGAAAUUUAUUGCAACAACCGUUACUUAUCCAUUCUUGGUAGUGUCUCAUUGCAUGGCGGUAAAUAACUGUGGAUUGGUUGCUGGCCUUCCUCCAAAUAUGCCAAUUUAUAAUAAUUGGUUGGAUUGUUGGUCUCAUUUAUCAAGUAUCAAUCAAGUGAAGAGAGGCAGUAGUCUUUUAUGGCGUUACUAUACUGGUCCACGAAUAAUCGUUAAGGGAAAAGCGAUACCUAUUAAUACAGAUUACUUUAAUGCGGAUAAAAUCCAAUAGGAAAUACAUUGAUACUUUGAUAAAUACUCAGAAGAGCAAUAAAAAUUAAUCCUAAAUUACAUAUGUCUUACAUUAUGGUGUUCAUCUGUAAUUUAUAAGGUAGUAAGUUUGAACUGUAAUUUAUCUACUAAAGCUGCAAUAUGAAUGUGAAUAAUGCACAGAGAGAAUGCAUUUAUUAUUAAUAAUAUAUAUAUAUGUACUUA
rnacentral:misc_RNA from 1 species